CAAUAGCGUAUAUUAAAGUUGUUGCGGUUAAAAGCUCGUAGUUGGAUUUCUGUCCGAGGCAGCCGGUCCGCACCUGGUGCGUGUAUCAGGUUUGACUAGGGCAUCCUCUUGGGGAACGUUUCUGUGCUUCAUUGCAUGGGACGGAAUUCAAGACUUUUACUUUGAGGAAAUUAGAGUGUUCACGGCAAGCUAUCGCUUUGAAUACAUUAGCAUGGAAUAAUAAUAUAGGGCGUAAGUCUUAUUUUGUUGGUUUCUAGGACAUACGCAAUGAUUAAUAGGGACAAUUGGGGGCAUUCGUAUUAACGCGUCAGAGGUGGAAUUCUUAGAUUGCGUUACGACGAACUACUGCGAAAGCAUUUGCCAAGGAUGUUUUCAUUGAUCAAGAACGAAAGUUGGGGGAUCGAAGAUGAUCAGAUACCAU
rnacentral:rRNA from 1 species